GCAGAGCUUCAGAAACUUUCUUCCUCAGAAAUCCAUGUACUGAAAAGUCAAUUUAAUGCCACAUGUUCUGGAGAAACUGAUCACCUGUGUGUGACUUCCUCAUAAGGAUUAAAAAAACGAGUGGGAAAUAAUUGACAGAAUUGAUGGUGAAAACUGGUGAUCUCUACAUCGUAACAGUUUAUCUUCCCAGAAAGGAGAAAGGAACAAUUUGAUAACCUUAAAGUCUUCUCUGACUUAAAAAAAUGGGAAUUUGGUAUCAAACACAUUUGGGAAAUGCUGCAGACUAUACCCACCUAAUGCUCAUUAGACUAUGGAAAGAAAAGUUCUGGGGCAGGAAAUCCAUAGAACUAGAGAGAGGAGGUGAUGUUACCCUGUAGGGGAUGUGGCCAUGUUUGAAGACAUUUUUGGUUAUUAUAACCAAGGGGAUAUACUAUUGGCAUCCAGUGGGUAGAGGUUAAGGUUGCUGCUAAAUAUCUUCCAAGGCACAGACCAGCCCCCCCCCUCCAGCUAAGAAUUACCUGAUCUCAUAUGUCAACAGUGCUGAGCCUGGGAUAUCCUGAUUCAUACCUUUUUAUAACCCAUGAAAUACUUGCUGUAUCACUGCCUUAGUCUUCAGUCAAAAACACAAUCUGCUACUUUCCUGAUAAAAUGCACACUAGGGAUUCAUCCUAUUUGUUAAAAAAAUAUUUGAAGGAAAACUUAAAUAUUUAACUCUGACACCAAUUCCUCAAUCUAGCUGGACCAUUACAUACACGCAUUCUAUCGUGGAUGAGGGAAACAUGGACUGCUUGAAACACAAGGCAAAAAGCAACAAAUACAUAUGACCUAUCAGGCUGUUACAACAAUUUUAAUGCAUGAACACGUUGGAGUAGCCCUUGUUUUCUAGAAGCACCCAUCCUCAUUGAUGCCCUUCUUUCUAAAGUUGGUUACUCUUGCUGAACUUGCCAUGCAGAAUGUCUGUGGAUUAUACUGGACACAUUUGUAUACAUUUGUAACAACCUCCCACUCCCCCCUCCAGAAAAAGGAUGAGGGACACUGAUUGUGGAUUUGCAAAUUCAGUCUGGUAAGGCAACUUUGAGAUCUCAUACUUUCAGCUCAGCCUUGAAAAUCUUUGACUGACCUUGAUGGCUUCCUGGAAUCCCACAUAAUAUUUAAUGGGAAAUUCAAUUCUCCAGAGAAAACUGUUUUCUGAUAGCUAAACAGCAUCGUUCCAUGGGGCUUGUAACUGUGACCUCAACUUUGACUUUUGAUUAGGAAUCCUCCUUCUCCUCACCAGAUGUCUCUUCAGGCCUUCUCAACCUUGGCACUAUUUCAACAUUUUGGCCCCUCCUCCCUGACAUCACGUCCCUGACCCACCACCACUAAGGGGUUCCCGGAUAUUUAACAGCUGAUGACAAGAGGGAAAUCAUGAUUUCACCAACAGAGUUUAAACUGCAAUGAAAUACUUCCCAAACCAUAGCCAAGUCUUGUCCUACCCCUGCCAUGUGGACGGAGGAAUACAGGGGACAAUGAUGGCUGAAGACAGGAACAGAACCCAAAGCUGUAGAGUGUCCUACCAAUGGGAACAGAGGAGACUCAGUGUUGCCCAAAGAAGAGCUUAGUUUUAGCUCAAGAAACAGUUUGGAAGACAUCUCAUUGCAUUUGAUGGCUUUUAUUUCAAACAAAGAGCUUUCAGUGCGAGCUCACUUUUUAAUAAAUUUUAAUUGCAUUAUUCACUUGUAGGGUAGCAGAUUAUGUUCUACAGCAAACCUUAUCACCACAAACAUCUGAAAAUCUCCUAAUUGGCUUUAACAAAAUCUGAUCUAUUGUCCUGAUUAUCUAUGGAUCCACCGAACAAAGAAAACACUUAGAUUUAUUACCCCAAGAUAUUUCAUUUCUCUUUGUAUAUUAAAAUGUCAGACAUAUCACCAGUAAGUGUUUAUUAAUUAGGGGAUACUUUUUUUCCUCAAAAUCUUCUAAAAACACAAAUUUUGCUCUUUAUUUGGUUUUAAUUUAAAGAGAAACAAUUUUCUCAUAUCCAUCCCUUUAGAGCUCUGAAGCAAAACUUGAAAAUGGCUCAGGAAUUCCAGAAUGUUUCAAAUAGUUACAAUUUGGGAGAGCAGAAAAUCUUAAAUUUCCUCUUUCCACAGA